rnacentral:lncRNA from 1 species
UCAAUCUCGGAGCGGACAUUUUAUUGUAGGUUUUUACUGAGAUUGACGGACCUAGCAAGCGAUUUUUACGGCAUUGCCAUUUCUUUUUUCUAGGAAAAGUCUUGAGAGAUAUCUGCAAAAAGUUUUUUUUAUGAACCUUCAGUACAUGUAUGCCCUGCUGACUGCAAAUUUUCAGGUCGAUUGGACUUGUAGUUUCAGAGAAUAUGUGGAUUUUUUUUCAGAAGAGACGUAAGAACAAUAAUAAAAUAAAAAUUUUCUUGAAUAAUUGAGAGUUUGUUCCUUCAAUAAACUGUCAUAAAUAAACAGUCAUACAUAUUGAUUGAUUGAUUAGUUGGUUGAUUGAUUGGUUGGUUGGUUGGUUGGUUUGUUGGUUGGUUGAUUAAACACGUUUGAUAGGGUCACUUAGAACAAGGGGAAAAAAGACCUCAAGAGACCUUGCAUCCCGUAUUAAACGCAUGACACGGAAACAUACAUUAAGUGAUUGAUUGGUUGGUUGGUUGGUUGGUUAAACACGUUGGUUAAACAUGUUGGUUUAACACGUUGGUUAAACACGUUGGCUGGUUAAACACGUUUGAUGGGCUCAAUUUAAACAAGCGAAAAAAAAACAUCUUGGAUCCCGUAUUUAACACAUGAAACGGAAACAUGCAUUGAUUUAUUUAUUGGUUGGUUGGUUGGUUGGUUGGUUGGUUAAACACGUUGGUUAAACAUGUCGGUUAAACACGUAGUUUAAACACGUUGGCUGGUUAAACACGUUUGAUAGGCUCAAUUUUAACAAACGAAAAAAAACCAUCUCGGAUCCCGUAUUUAACACAUGAAACGGAAACAUGCAUUGAUUGAUUGAUUGGUUGGUUGGUUGGUUGGUUAAACACGUUGGUUAAACACAUUGGAUAGGCUCAAAAUUGGAUCCCGUAUUUAACACAUGAAACGGAAACAUGCAUUGAUUGAUUGAUUGGUUGGUUGGUUAAACACGUUGGUUAAACAUGUUGGUUAAACACGUUGGUUAAACAUAUUGGUUAAACACGUUGGUUAAACAUAUUGGUUAAACACGUUGGCUGGUUAAACACGUUGGAUAGGCUCAAUUUAAACAAGCGAAAAAAAACCAUCUUGGAUCCCGUAUUUAACACAUGAAACGGAAACAUGCAUUGAUUGAUUGAUUGAUUGAUUGGUUGGGUGGUUGGUUGGUUAAACAUGUUGGUUAAACACGUUGGUUAAACACGUUGGCUGGUUAAACACGUUAGAUAGGCUCAAUUUAAACAAGCGAAAAAAACCAUCUUGGAUCCCGUAUUUAACACAUGAAACGCAAACAUGCAUUGAUUGGUUGGUUGGUUGGUUGGUUGGUUGGUUGGUUGGUUGGUUGGUUGGUUGGUUGGUUGGUUGGUAGGUUGGUUAAACACGUUGGUUAAACAUGUUGGUUAAACACGUUGGUUAAACACGUUGGCUGGUUAACACGUUAGAUAGGCUCAAUUUAAACGAGCGAAAAAAAACCAUCUUGGAUCCCGUAUUUAACACAUGAAACGGAAACAUGCAUUGAUUGAUUGAUUGAUUGAUUGGUUUUGGUUGGUUGGUUGGUUGGUUGGUUGGUUGGUUAAACAUGUUGGUUAAACACGUUGGUUAAACACGUUGGCUGGUUAAACACGUUAGAUAGGCUCAAUUUAAACGAGCGAAAAAAAACAUCUUGGAUCCCGUAUUUAACACAUGAAACGGAAACAUGCAUUGAUUGAUUGAUUGAUUGAUUGGUUGGUUGGUUGGUUGGUUGGUUGGUUUUGGUUGGUUGGUUAAACACGUUAGUUAAACAUAUUUGUUAAACAUGUUGGUUAAACACGUUUGAUAGGCUCAAUUAAAACAAGCGAAAAAAAAGAGACGUUGAAUCCCGUAUCAAACACAUGAAACGGAAACAUUGAUUGAUUGAUUGAUUGAUUGAUUGAUUGAUUGAUUGAUUGAUUGGUUGGUUGGUUGGUUGGUUGGUUGGUUGGUUGGUUGGUUGGUUGGUUGGUUGGUUGGUUGGUUGGUUGAAAUUCAAACACACAUAAAACUGUUUAAAUAGUGCCAAAACCACAUAAUUUGAUGACCUUGACCUUUGACCUUGUGACCUUCGUCAAGGUCAUUGCUCCACAAGGUCAUUGCAAAAGACCCUAUGGGUCAAGGACCUUUGUUUAAGAGUUUUGCCUAAAUAUGGCUUUUUAAAAACCAUCGAUGGGAGUUAUGUCCCUUACAUGAUGGUAAAAUCAAUAUAGUCAUAAUGUAAAAAAGUUGCCCCUUGAAGUACUUAACAUUUUUCACUGCUUAAAUUUUCUGUAUCUAUAACCAUUCAAGAAUUAUAGGGAAAUCAAAGACAUAUGAAAAUCUAAAAUAUGACCUUGACCUUUGACCUUGACCUAAUUUUCUAAGUUAGGAAUCAGGGGACUCAAAUAAAAACAUUCCAGGGUUAUACGGUUAACGGUUUAUGAGUUAAAAAAACAUACCGACAAAUUUAUUCCGUAAAGAUAGAUAACUCCUAUAAAAUUUCAUCGAAUCGCUUCGAUCCAAAUUAGCCAAAAUUUUCUGAGGAUGUAACGAACAAUUUGUAAAAAGAAUUUUGUCGCUAUCUUUUUUUGUUACGAAGGAGAUGCACACACAUGAUAAACAGUGAAUAGGGAGAUAACUCUUACAGAGAAAAUUGUUCGUCUUAGCAGGGUGAAAUUUAAAAGCGCAUAAACUAUACGAUACAAUAUGAGAAAUAUCUAAGCGACAUAUUGCGAAACAAACAUUUAUCGCAAGAACAAAAGUUGGCGGAAAAAAAAAAAAUAAUAAUAAUAAUAAUAAAAACCAAUUGUUCAAGAACAAUUGAAUAAAUAUAAUAAUAUGAUAAAAUAAUAACAAAAAUGUCAAUAUGAUAGCUUCUUUCACACUGAUUCCAAAAUAUAUAGUUUCUAAUACUUUUGUAUAGAAUGGGAGAUAAUUGGCACUUCCGGUUUGUUGGAAGUCAUUUUUAGUCUUCAGUAAUCUGUUUAUGUAUCUAUAUGACAAAAUAUAUGGAUUCUGAGUACUUUUAUGUGAAAAAAUUGCAAAAAAGCUACUUCCGGUUUUUCAAGGUCACUUCCGGUAAUUUUUCAAAGGUCAUUUGUCAUUAACCUUUUGUAUAAGGUCAAAUGAUUUAUAAUGAACUUAAUUGAAGUUAUAAUCAAAUAACCUCAUAUCAAGACAUUUCAGGGGCAAAACUCCUAUAAGAUGCCAUUUAAGUAUAAGACUAAAUGUAGCAUAUCUUCAUUACAAUAAGCUGAACAUUUUGCACUUGUUCUUUAAUAUGUAUCUUUCAAAGUGUCGGAGAAAAUGCAAAAACAAGCAAAAGUCACAAUUGAGAACUUGACCUUGACCUUUGACCUUGACCUAUUUUCUAAGUUAGGACCUAGGGGACUCAAAUAAAAACAUUCCAGGGUUAUACGGUUAACGGUUUAUGAGUUAAAAAACAUACCGACAAAUUUAUUUUGUAAAGGUAGAUAACUCCUAUAAAAUUUCAUCGAAUCGCUUCGAUCCAAAUAGCCAAAAAUUUCUGAGGAUGUAACGAACAAUUUGUAAAAGAAAUUUUGUCGCUAUCUUUUUUUGUUACGAAGGAGAUGCACACACAUGAUAAACAGUGAAUAGGGAGAUAACUCUUACAAAGAAAAUGUUCGCUUAGCAGGGUGAAAUUUAAAAGCGCAUAAACUAUACGAUACAAUAUGAGAAAUAUCUAAGCGACAUAUUGCGAAACAAACAUUUAUCGCAAGAACAAAAUUUGGCGGAAAAAAAAAAAAAAAAUAAUAAUAAUAAUAAAAAUAAAGCAAUUGUUUUGAAAACAAUUGUUAGGCAGUCUUUCCCCUCUGAUGAAUGGAUAAUUGAUUUUUUUAUUGAUUGAUUUGGAAAAAAGGGGGGGGGGGGUAUUUGUUUUUUUUGUUUGUUUGUUUGUUUUUGCUUUGGUAUGGGUCUAUAUUAUUAUGUUACCGGAGAAGUUUCAUGUUUAGUUUGGAAAGUUUUUCUUUUAUUUUAGAUACAGCGCGCGCGCAAGAUUGAGGAGACAUCACGUGACGCGGGUUUAUAUUAAGAAAAACUUAGUCUUUUAAUUUCUUUUUAGGUCGGGACCUUGAACAGACAACAUGUCUAGAGAUGGAAUGUACACAAUGUAAUUUCUUUUGUCAUUGUAGGAAAUUGACAUUUUGAUCACAGUUCACCAGCAGUGCAUGUUUUGGAUUUAAUUGAUUCCGGUGUAACUUUAAAACACAUUUAAUGAUUAUUUUUUGAUAAUGUCCAUUUUUCAGCACCUGUUUGUAACACAGAUUAGUAUUUCAAUCUCGGAGCGGACAUUUUAUUGUAGGUUUUUACUGAGAUUGACGGACCUAGCAAGCGAUUUUUACUGCAUUGCCAUUUCUUUUUUCUAGGAAAAGUCUUGAGAGAUAUCUGCAAAAAGUUUUUUUAUGAACCUUCAGUACAUGUAUGCCCUGCUGACUGCAAAUUUUCAGGUCGAUUGGACUUGUAGUUUCAGAGAAUAUGUGGAUUUUUUUUCAGAAGAGACGUAAGAACAAUAAUAAAAUAAAAAUUUUCUUGAAUAAUUGAGAGUUUGUUCCUUCAAUAAACUGUCAUAAAUAAACAGUCAUACAUAUUGAUUGAUUGAUUAGUUGGUUGAUUGAUUGGUUGGUUGGUUGGUUGGUUUGUUGGUUGGUUGAUUAAACACGUUUGAUAGGGUCACUUAGAACAAGGGGAAAAAAAGACCUCAAGAGACCUUGCAUCCCGUAUUAAACGCAUGACACGGAAACAUACAUUAAGUGAUUGAUUGGUUGGUUGGUUGGUUGGUUAAACACGUUUGGUUAAACAUGUUGGUUUAACACGUUGGUUAAACACGUUGGCUGGUUAAACACGUUUGAUAGGCUCAAUUUAAACAAGCGAAAAAAAAACAUCUUGGAUCCCGUAUUUAACACAUGAAACGGAAACAUGCAUUGAUUUAUUUAUUGGUUGGUUGGUUGGUUGGUUGGUUGGUUAAACACGUUGGU